rnacentral:lncRNA from 1 species
CCGCGUCUCGCCGCUCCGACCAUGGUUGCUGGGCCGCCCCCCGCCCCGCUUCCCCCCGCUGCGGGGCCGCCCCGCCGCUGAGCGCCCCUGCCCGCCCCGGGGAAGGAGCCGGCGCUGCCCGGGCGACCUCCAUCGCCCGCUCUCCCGGGAGGUGGGGGCCCCACACUGCCUCUUCACCCGACGGUGCCCGGGCCGGGACUCCCACUGCCCGCAGCGGGCAGCGGGGAGGGCGAGGAUGUCGGGCAGCACGGCGAGGAAGGUGCAGCCCUUCACCAUCAGCACAAGGCUCUCGGUGCCCAAGUGUGCCGCGGACUUCCCCAGAGACGCCUGCCCCGGCAUCGCCCUCGCCUCCGCGCUGGACAGCCACCGCGGCCUCCGUCGCAGCAUCAACGAGCGCAUCUCCCUCUACCUGGCCCACGCCCGGGCCGGUCCCGCCGCUCACGCAGGGCAGCCCCGCAGCCCCAGCCCCGGUGAGGACGGGGGCCCCGACGAGGACCGGCUGAACCGCAGCUCCCUAGCCCGCUCCAUUAAGAAGAUCACGCUGUCCAACUGGUACGGGGACUCUGGCACGGGAGGGGCAGGGGGACCCGGGGACCCUGCCCGCGCCAGCGGCGAAAGGAACCACAACAACAACAACAGCAGGACAGGGAAAGCUCAAUUCAAGCUGGCAGGAUCCCCGGUGUCAUCACCCCAGAAAGAGAGCCCUAAGGGCAAGGAGUCUGCCGCAGCACCAAGAUGCAGUGGGCGAAGUGGUGUGGGAGCAGCCCCUCUCCUUGACCUGAGUCCUCUGAUAGCCAAGUUCAACCGGGAGAUGCUGCAGGUGAGGCCAGCUGGGGCCCUCUCCCAAGGGCCUGCAUAGGAAGUGGAAUGGAGGGCCAUCGGCAGCUUUCUUGUGAG